rnacentral:rRNA from 1 species
CCUACGGGUGGCAGCAGUGAGGAAUAUUGGUCAAUGGACGAGAGUCUGAACCAGCCAAGUAGCGUGAAGGAUGACUGCCCUAUGGGUUGUACACUUCUUUUAUAUGGGAAUAAAACAGGGUAUGCAUACCCUCUUGUAUGUACCAUAUGAAUAAGGAUCGGCUAAAUCCGUGCCAGCAGCCGCGGUAAUACGGAGGAUCCGAGCGUUAUCCGGAUUUAUUGGGUUUAAAGUGAGCGUAGGUGGAUUGUUAAGUCAGUUGUGAAAGUUGGCGGCUCAACCGUAAAAUUGCAGUUGAAACUGGCAGGCUUGAGUACAGUAGAGGUGGGCGGAAUUCGUGGUGUAGCGGUGAAAUGCUUAGAGAUCACGAAGAACUCCGAUUGCGAAGGCAGCUUACUGGACUGCAACUGACACUGAUGCUCGAAAGUGUGGGUAUCAAACAGGAUUAGAUACCCGGGUAGUC